GGAUCCAGACUUUGAUUAUGGCUCAGGAUGAACGCUAGCUACAGGCUUAACACAUGCAAGUCGAGGGGAAACGAUAGAGAAAGCUUGCUUUUUCUAGGCGUCGACCGGCGCACGGGUGAGUAACGCGUAUCCAACCUGCCCAUCACUUGGGGAUAACCUUGCGAAAGUAAGACUAAUACCCAAUGAGGUCUCUAGAAGACAUCUGAAAGAGAUUAAAGAUUUAUCGGUGAUGGAUGGGGAUGCGUCUGAUUAGCUUGUUGGCGGGGUAACGGCCCACCAAGGCGACGAUCAGUAGGGGUUCUGAGAGGAAGGUCCCCCACAUUGGAACUGAGACACGGUCCAAACUCCUACGGGAGGCAGCAGUGAGGAAUAUUGGUCAAUGGACGAGAGUCUGAACCAGCCAAGUAGCGUGCAGGAAGACGGCCCUAUGGGUUGUAAACUGCUUUUAUAAGGGAAUAAAGUGAGUCUCGUGAGACUUUUUGCAUGUACCUUAUGAAUAAGGACCGGCUAAUUCCGUGCCAGCAGCCGCGGUAAUACGGAAGGUCCGGGCGUUAUCCGGAUUUAUUGGGUUUAAAGGGAGCGUAGGCCGGAGAUUAAGCGUGUUGUGAAAUGUAGACGCUCAACGUCUGCACUGCAGCGCGAACUGGUUUCCUUGAGUACGCACAAAGUGGGCGGAAUUCGUGGUGUAGCGGUGAAAUGCUUAGAUAUCACGAAGAACUCCGAUUGCGAAGGCAGCUCACUGGAGCGCAACUGACGCUGAAGCUCGAAAGUGCGGGUAUCGAACAGGAUUAGAUACCCUGGUAGUCCGCACGGUAAACGAUGGAUGCCCGCUGUUGGUCUGAAUAGGUCAGCGGCCAAGCGAAAGCAUUAAGCAUCCCACCUGGGGAGUACGCCGGCAACGGUGCAACUCAAAGGAAUUGACGG
rnacentral:rRNA from 1 species